GACGAACGCUGGCGGCGUGCUUAACACAUGCAAGUCGAACGAAGUGGGAACGGGCGAGUAAUACGUGGGUAACCUCCCUCCUUUUUGGGAUAAGCCUUGGAAACGGGGUCUAAACCGAAUAGAUGGGCUCGCGGCCUAUCAGCUUGUUGGUGGGGUGAUGGCCUACCAAGGCGGAGACGGGUAGCCGGUCUGAGAGGGUGAACGGCCACAUUGGGACUGCGCAACGGCCCAGACUCCUACGGGAGGCAGCAGUGGGGAAUCUUCCGCAAUGGACGGAAGUCUGACGGAGCAACGCCGCGUGAGUGAUGACGGCCUUCGGGUUGUAAAGCUCUGUUGAUCGGGACGCGGUACCGAAAUAGAAAGCCACGGCUAACUACGUGCCAGCCGCCGCGGUAAUAC
rnacentral:rRNA from 1 species